rnacentral:lncRNA from 1 species
UUCUUAAUAUUAAAUACAUUCCUAAAUCAUUUCAUAUCGAAUCUAUCUUCUUAAGUUCUGUGAUAUCAGAGUCAAUUCCAAACCUACUCGACUCCCUAGAUCAUUUAUCUAGCGAUCGAAAGAGUUCAAAAUCAACGGCUGAAAAUAAAAAUCUCACAGAAAGUGAUGAUAUAAUACUAAAAUUUUCAAUCAGAAAUACUAAUUUUGCAGUAAAUAGCAUAAAGGAUUUUCUAUCAAAAUUUUAUCUGAUUUGAAUACUUCUACACCGUUAAACUUGCAAACAAUAUAUAUCAACCAUUAAAAUUGUAGAUUUUGAACCAUUUUGAUCGUUAGAUAAAUGAUAUCGAAAAAUCGCAAUAUUUAUUUUCUAAAUACUUUAAAUAUACUGGAUCAAAUCUAACAGAGCCGAUCGUCGAUUCGGAAGCUCCAUUGUCGAAAACGGCUUAGGAGCAUGUAAGCCUCUGUCCUCCUAAUAGCACACAAAACCUACUCCAAAUUCCUGUAUUAAAAUCUUACCCCAUUAACUAUCCCUGUCUCGUUCAUCAUCUAUCAAAU